AGUGAACGCUGGCGGUAGGCCUAACACAUGCAAGUCGAACGGCAGCACAGUAAGAGCUUGCGCUUACGGGUGGCGAGUGGCGGACGGGUGAGGAAUACAUCGGAAUCUACUUUUUCGUGGGGGAUAACGUGGGGAAACAUACGCUAAUACCGCAUACGACCUACGGGUGAAAGCAUGGGAUCUUCGGACCUUGCGCGAUUGAAUGAGCCGAUGUCGGAUUAGCUAGUUGGCGGGGUAAAGGCCCACCAAGGCGACGAUCCGUAGCUGGUCUGAGAGGAUGAUCCGGCCCACUGGAACUGAGACACGGUCCAGACUCCUACGGGAGGCAGCAGUGGGGAAUAUUGGACAAUGGGCGGAAGCCUGAUCCAGCCAUACCGCGUGGGUGAAGAAGGCCUUCGGGUUGUAAAGCCCUUUUGUUGGGAAAGAAAAGCAGCAGGUUAAUACCCCGCUGUUCUGACGGUACCCAAAGAAUAAGCACCGGCUAACUUCGUG
rnacentral:rRNA from 1 species